GAGGCUUUUUGGGAGCUCACUGGCUUCGGGUUCCGUAUAAACUCUGAAGUUAAGCGAGUAGCGCACGAGAGCAGUCCCAUGAUGGGUGACCCACAGGGAAGUUCUCGUGUGAGUUUCCAAAAACAAAAUCGUGAGGGUGUAGUCGGGGCCCAAAGCGGACAAUAUCGUGCUACGGUGGUGAAGCGGGCCCGGGAUGUGGUAGACCCCGGGCCAGGAUGUGACAAUUUGGUAUCAGAGCCUAACCUUGGCUGUGGUGUGCCGACGAGGACGUCGGGCCCCUAAGGGGGGUGGAUUGUAAGAUCCCACAUCACCUAGGGGAAUGAUCCUUAAAUGUAUAUUCCCAUCCCUACCUAACACGAGGCUUUUUGGGAGCUCAUUGGCUUCGGGUUCCGUAGGAAUUCCAAAGUUAAGCGAGUAACGCACGAGAGCAGUCCCAUGAUGGGUGACCCACUGGGAAGUUCUCGUGUGAAUUCCC
rnacentral:sRNA from 1 species